rnacentral:rRNA from 1 species
GACGAACGCUGGCGGCGUGCUUAACACAUGCAAGUCGAACGGAAAGGCCCUGCUUUUGUGGGGUGCUCGAGUGGCGAACGGGUGAGUAACACGUGAGUAACCUGCCCUUGACUUUGGGAUAACCUCAGGAAACUGGGGCUAAUACCGGAUAGGAGCUCCUGCUGAAUGGUGGGGGUUGGAAAGUUUCGGCGGUUGGGGAUGGACUCGCGGCUUAUCAGCUUGUUGGUGGGGUAGUGGCUUACCAAGGCUUUGACGGGUAGCCGGCCUGAGAGGGUGACCGGCCACAUUGGGACUGAGAUACGGCCCAGACUCCUACGGGGGGCAGCAGUGGGGAAUAUUGCACAAUGGGCGGAAGCCUGAUGCAGCAACGCCGCGUGCGGGAUGACUGCCUUCGUGUUGUAAACCGCUUUCGCCUGUGACGAAGCGUGAGUGACGGUAAUGGGUAAAGAAGCACCGGCUAACUACGUG